UACAGAGGGUGCAAGCGUUAAUCGGAAUUACUGGGCGUAAAGCGUGCGUAGUCGGUUAUUUAAGUCAGGUGUGAAAUCCCCGGGCUCAACCUGGGAAUUGCAUUUGAUACUGGAUAGCUAGAGUUCGGCAGAGGGAAGUGGAAUUUCUGGUGUAGCGGUGAAAUGCGUAGAUAUCAGAAGGAACAUCAGUGGCGAAAGCGACUUCCUGGACCAGAACUGACGAUCAGGCACGAAAGCGUGGGGAGCAAACAGGAUUAGAUACCCUGGUAGUCCACGCCAUAAACGAUGACAACUAGACGUUGGGGACAUAUGGUCCACAGUGUCGCAGCUAACGCGUUAAGUUGUCCGCCUGGGGAGUACGGCCGCAAGGUUG
rnacentral:rRNA from 1 species